rnacentral:lncRNA from 10 species
CAAUUAUAUAGGCACAGACAGAUAAGUUGUAGGAGGAUUACAACAUUUUUCGUAUGAAGCAAGGUGCAUAUGCCACAGCAAUUGGUUUGAUUGAUUAUGGAUUUCUGCAUUCCAAGGGAAGUUACUUUAUUACUCCAUGAGGAUGGGUAGUGAUCUUAGGGGUCUUAUCUCUGGCACCGUUUGGUCUCAAUUAUUUACAGGAAAAAGAGGCUUUUAAAAAAGGCAAAAGUUGCAGCUGCCUGCCACCUGGCUCAGGCUGCAGAGCCACAUUCCUCUCAAGGCUCAGGAUAACUUAAAGUUCCAAAAACUGUAAGUUUAAACUAUUUAGUUUCACAGCUACUAUAAUGUUCAGUUUCCUAUCUUUGUAUAGUUACCUGGGUAACCAAGACUCUAACCCUAGUAAUUUCUCUUUUCUCUUCUUGUUAGACCAUCCGCUGGGCUCAUUCCAAUUCCUACCCGACCCUGCUGCUUUAUGAUGAAUUGGCCUUUACCAAUGAAUCACUUUUUAACAUUACCCUGCAGUUGACAAUUUGCCUCUCUGUAAGCCAGAUUGCUUCUUAACUAGACAUUGGCCUUGUCGCUGAACCUCCUUCAUAUAUUUGAGUACAACUUAAUUGUAGCAAAAUAGUUUCAACUGUGUUAAACCCAUUGGGUUUUCUUUAGGGGUCUUUCUGGAGACCCUAAAUAAUAACACAUAGUCAGCUGCAAGAUUUUUUAUUGUAAGACUAACUUUGAUACCAGCUUGCCAUGUCUAAGAAAGUGAAAAAGCUAAUGCAUAAAUAGAAAAUUUCUAAGGCUAGCUGUCUCUUGAUCUUGGUAUCUUUGGAGCCAAGACAAGAAAGGCAGGAUAAACCUUGCUCAAUUAAGCUAUCUUUGAGGAACCAGAAAACAAACAAAAAUCCCAAUAUAGUGAUUUAAAAAUAAACCCUAAGCAGGAAGGAUGAGGAUGUCUAUUACUUAGUAUGAGAAAGAAAUUGAGCAGAUUGGAACGUGACACCAAUUCUUGGACUCAGCGAGUUGAUUCUGGAGAGGUAAAGCAAAGACAGUUCUCUUCAAUGCAGUGAACAGAGAACAGGUA